GGACCUCCCAGCCUGCAGAAUGACUUGUUCAGUCUGUUAGGAAUCGACUAUAUGUAAUAUGUGAGAAACAGCUUGCAGAAACACUAGAUUCACAGAUGGAGGAGAAAUGCCAACUCACUAACAAGUUUAGUGCUGCCAAAAAGGAGUUAGAUGCUUACAAAAAGGUGAAGAUAGAGCCCAACGCAAAGCUGAUGGAGGCGUUCCCUGCCCUGGUUCAAGAAUUGAAAGAAGAGAGGUUCAAACUGUCCCAACAACAAGGGAGGCUGGCAGAGAUGCUAACAAUGCUGUAGUCCUUAGAAGAGGCCAUGAGAGUCACACCUGCACAAAGAGCUCUGCCAAACCUGCCAGGAAGACAAGAUCCAAGCCCUCUGCUCACUUCCCCAGGAGUGGGCCUGGGUCUUAAAGCAGCACUGUUCCCUCCCCUCCAUUCAAGCCUCCCAAGCUGCCCAGCUGCAUUCUCCCACCUGGAUUCCAUCAGAGGGUCGUUGAGGCAAGUGGAUCCAGGGAAGCCUCUCUCUGAGCUGGAGUUCCUCUGCCUUCACAUGCUGACACCGUGGCCAACUCCUUCAUGGUUGAUUCCUCCAAAUGUAAAGAAUACAGGAGAUCCUGGAACACACUAGGAAAUGUGAGACUUUCUCUCUCUUCAUAGAAAGAUUAGAUUCUCUCUCAUUAGCAGUGAAAGAAAUGCUGUAAUUGAGAGCCUCAUUUUUUACUCAAAUUGAAAUAUCAUCACACUGCAUUUCUUAAGACAAUGGUCUAUAAAUGUUUUUAUAUAUUAAUAAGUG
rnacentral:lncRNA from 1 species